GAGAGUGAAUUCCUUUAGAGCCACAGCUGAUGGCGUCGGUACCUCCCGCCAAGACACAGGGGUGAGCUCACUGGAGUGCCGUUAUAUUUCCAGCCUGUAUAGAGGUGACAGUGCCGUGACAGAGGUGGUGGAGGUUAUUAAUGCACCAAGGAACAGGCUCAGGCGUGUAGAUGGGAGCAGUAGAAGAAA